rnacentral:rRNA from 1 species
UACGUAGGGGGCGAGCGUUAAUCGGAAUUACUGGGCGUAAAGCGUGCGCAGGCGGCGCGUUAAGACAGGUGUGAAAGCCCCGAGCUUAACUUGGGAAUUGCGCUUGUGACUGGCGUGCUGGAGUGUGGCAGAGGGAGGUGGAAUUCCACGUGUAGCAGUGAAAUGCGUAGAGAUGUGGAGGAACACCGAUGGCGAAGGCAGCCUCCUGGGCCAGCACUGACGCUCAUGCACGAAAGCGUGGGGAGCAAACAGG